rnacentral:antisense_RNA from 1 species
CUUCAGCGAACCCAGCCACAACGGGCGGCCGGCAGGCCGGUCCUGACCGUACGUGGCCAGCAGUGCGUCGGCCUC